rnacentral:rRNA from 1 species
AAUCAACGCUGGCGGCGUGCCUAACACAUGCAAGUCGAACGAGAAAGUGGAGCAAUCCAUGAGUAAAGUGGCGCACGGGUGAGUAACACGUGACUAACCUACCUUUUAGUGGGGGAUAACCUAGGGAAACCUGGGCUAAUACCGCAUAAUACCUACGGGUCAAAGCAGCAAUGCGCUGAAAGAGGGGGUCGCGGCCGAUUAGCUAGUUGGCGGGGUAAUGGCCCACCAAGGCGAUGAUCGGUAUCCGGCCUGAGAGGGCGCACGGACACACUGGAACUGAAACACGGUCCAGACUCCUACGGGAGGCAGCAGUGGGGAAUUUUGCGCAAUGGGGGAAACCCUGACGCAGCAACGCCGCGUGGAGGAUGAAGUCCCUUGGGACGUAAACUCCUUUCGAUCGGGAAGAUAAUGACGGUACCGGAAGAAGAAGCCCCGGCUAACUUCGUGCCAGCAGCCGCGGUAAUACGAGGGGGGGCAAGCGUUGUUCGGAAUUAUUGGGGCGUAAAGGGUGCCGUA